ensembl:ncRNA C33D12.16 ncRNA
AGUCGACUCAAUUGCAAUAAUACACGGCUGCGGUCUCCUUCGACAAUUGUCAUCUUGCUAAACAAUUGAACAAGACGAAUGAAAAGAAGGUUGAGGUUUUGACAAACUGUACAGGACGCGUCUCUAACCUCCUU